rnacentral:sRNA from 3 species
GACGAGGAUGAGAACCUCCGGGGGCAAGAGGUUCGACCCGAGCGAAGCGAGAGAACGUUGCGUCAGCAACGGCCCGCAGGGCGAGCCACGCAGUGGCGAGUCAUCCUCUAUCACCGACCA